UACAAGGCUUAUCUAAAACUAGAGUUCUCAGUUGCCAUAACUACAAAAGAUUCUGCUUCCUCACACAUUGUCAUUCCAAAUUCCAUUCACUUCAAACAAAACCAAAGGGAAGCAAGAGCUCCUUUAUUGUGUAUCUCUGGCUUCAAGAAAAACCAAGAAUCCAGUCUGGCAGCCCACCCAGAAGCAGGAGUAGGACUGCAAGCAUUUCUGUGCUGCCUGGUACACCCAGAAGCAAGAAGAGAAGUGGUGAAGGGCACUGGGAUCUUCCUGAUAGGAUCCUCAGACGUAUUCCCCGCCAGAGGAAGGAAUACUUCAGAGAAAACCCAGAACAGGAAACUGGAGCUGAGACUCAUUUCCAAGAUGAUCCUCCUUGUGGGAGCUCAAGCCAGGAUUUUGUACUGGAAGUCAGUUCCAGAGCUCCUGUUGGUGCCUGACUCACCAAGCUGCUUUCCUGAUUAACUAGACUCAUCUUCCCUACUGCCACCAUUUGUAUGCCCUAUGGGUUUUAAGGCUGCUCCAAGGCAUGAAGGCAUAUGAUACCAAGCAUGGGAACAAAGACAUUCUAAUCAGGCUGAAGACCAGAUGCUGCUCACAGUUACUGCACUUUACAGCAACCGGAUACAGACUUUCAGAGACUAACAACACUUAAUUCUGGAGGAAAUAAGAGGAACUAUGUGUUCAGCUCCUUUCCUCUCUGUUCAGGACUGACGACUGUCAUCAGUGCAUGGUCUCUUGUGGAAGCUCAACGUGGGC